AGUUACCGAACUGUGUAACGGCUCUCCGUUCUGAUGGAGUCCCUUCGUGAUAUAGGAAAAUGCCGACACAACGUGGCACUCGCCUUAGCAGUUGUACUCUACCAUAGCGUCCUUCUAAGCCUACCAGUAUGCAAUGGGUCUCAAGCCGAUUUCAGGGACCUUCUUUAUAUGUUGAACACUACGCAAAAAACCUACAUAUAUGGAAGAAGUAUCACGCAUCAAGCUGACUUCGAUCACGAGAUCUGUACAUACUACACCAAGAAAGAUCUAAAUAAUACCGACUAUAACUUCACAUUGCAUAUGCCUUUUCACAACCACCAGAAGAGCUAUGAUCUUCAUGCGAAACUAGGAAAUGGAACCGACGACCCAGGUCCCUACAUGAAUGUAACAGAUUGGCCAGUGAUCGGUAAUGUCACAAAGAAACUAUGGCGAUACGUCUACUCUGGACACUGUGGGGUUAUGUUAUAUCCCUGGCAUGGUCGAAUACACUGCGAGAUCCAUGUGCGAGAACAAGGAAUUCCAAAAAAAUAUAUAGAUCUGAUACACCCUACCUGCAAUGGGCUGUUUUGGGAGCUCUGCAGAUACGACACUAUGCACCAAAUUUACAGUUCAAAGUGUUAAUUCCUCUUUAUGAAUGUGUAAUUUAGUGGGUGCCUUUUUUUCCUAUAUCAUUCUUCAGAAUGACCUACAAAGAUGAAGUUUUUCUUACAGAUUGCAUAUAUAAUCAUUCGAAAGUUUUGGCCUGCCGUGAUCAUCGAUCCGCUACCGCGAAAUGUGAAAUGCGCAUGCGCGAUCCCUCUUCUCACGGCGACUGCUACAAUACUGUCGCUGGCUGCAGCGAAAUUCCGUGUUCUGCACCGGUAACUGGAACCGGUUACUGUCUGACGUAAAAAAACUAACAAAAUAUAGUGGCGUCAAGAUUGCGCUUCGUAUAUGAAGAGCGCGCGUGAUUGAGUCACUGCAUCGAUUGGAAGUAGUUGUCACGAGGAGUUUUGCACACGCACUCGGACAGCGGAAAGCGUUCAGCAAUUGUGCGAGCCAACACGCAUGACGGCUCCUGGGCACCAUCCACUUGAGAGAUAAAUGUACUCGUAUCACGUCUUUCGUUCACUGCAGUGGUUUAGUACUGGCCUAAAGAAUACGUUGUUGCGCCAGAAAAGGAAAAUAAAGACUUGGGAAGGAAGAGUACGAAACGACAGAUUGAGUACUCUUCCUUCUCAAGUCUUUAUUUUCCUUUUUUGGCGCAACAAUAUAUUCUUUAGAUCCCAACCAACUCGCCCAGCAACAAGUUCUACUCAAGUACUGGCCACUCUUUGUAAGAGCAGGCCCGUGUAUUUCUAAAUUGCUUUAUUUCACUUAAGAAAAUUCAUUGCCAGACAGAAAUAGUAGCCGAAUUUCCCGACACCGUAAGUUGUGACAGCAGCGAACAGCUCGACCGGAGUAUCGAAGCAACCAACAGCCGGCAUGUUGCUUCCGUGGCAGAAAAUGCAGUGUUAGGAAUUCUUCUAUGCCGGCGUUAAUAUUCACCUAAUCGCAGGAUGGCUAGCAGGUGCAAUCAACUUAAGUAAUGCUGUGAGUUGUUCUCGGCCUUCGGCUUCUCAGCGCAAAGACAACGAAGGCGCAUAAGUGGUAUUAAAGAUCACGCGUGCGCAGUUCAAGCGGUGAGGUGGACAGGUAGCAGCUGUCGCAGGAGGAGUGCUUGCACAUGAGCCGUUGCCUUCUCGCGGUAGCGGAUCUCACAUCUAGAUAUGCUAUAACUCUUUGUUAAACAGAACAUAUGCGACAAAAGAAGGAGAAAAUAAAGUGAUGUGAAACGAAAAUAAACU